GGGGUUGUAGCUCAGUGGUAGAGUGCUUGCCUAGCACAUGAGAGGGACUGAGUUCGAUCCUCAGCACCA
rnacentral:tRNA from 1 species